UACGAGGGGGGCGAGCGUUGUUCGGAAUUAUUGGGCGUAAAGGGCGCGUAGGCGGUUUGGUAAGUCUGAUGUGAAAUCUAUGGGCUCAACUCAUAGUCUGCAUCGGAAACUGCCGGGCUUGAGUGUGGGAGAGGUGAGUGGAAUUCCUGGUGUAGCGGUGAAAUGCGUAGAUAUCAGGAGGAACACCUGUGGCGAAAGCGGCUCACUGGACCAUAACUGACGCUGAUGCACGAAAGCUAGGGAGCAAACAGG
rnacentral:rRNA from 1 species